rnacentral:rRNA from 1 species
GCCGCGGUAAUACGUAGGUGGCAAGCGUUAUCCGGAAUUAUUGGGCGUAAAGCGCGCGUAGGCGGUUUUUUAAGUCUGAUGUGAAAGCCCACGGCUCAACCGUGGAGGGUCAUUGGAAACUGGAAAACUUGAGUGCAGAAGAGGAAAGUGGAAUUCCAUGUGUAGCGGUGAAAUGCGCAGAGAUAUGGAGGAACACCAGUGGCGAAGGCGACUUUCUGGUCUGUAACUGACGCUGAUGUGCGAAAGCGUGGGGAUCAAACAGGAUUAGAUACCCUGGUAGUCCACGCCGUAAACGAUGAGUGCUAAGUGUUAGGGGGUUUCCGCCCCUUAGUGCUGCAGCUAACGCAUUAAGCACUCCGCCUGGGGAGUACGACCGCAAGGUUGAAACUCAAAGGAAUUGACGGGGGCCCGCACAAGCGGUGGAGCAUGUGGUUUAAUUCGAAGCAACGCGAAGAACCUUACCAGGUCUUGACAUACUCAUAAAGGCUCCAGAGAUGGAGAGAUAGCUAUAUGAGAUACAGGUGGUGCAUGGUUGUCGUCAGCUCGUGUCGUGAGAUGUUGGGUUAAGUCCCGCAACGAGCGCAACCCUUAAGCUUAGUUGCCAUCAUUAAGUUGGGCACUCUAAGUUGACUGCCGGUGACAAACCGGAGGAAGGUGGGGAUGACGUCAAAUCAUCAUGCCCCUUAUGAUUUGGGCUACACACGUGCUACAAUGGACAAUACAAAGGGCAGCGAAACCGCGAGGUCAAGCAAAUCCCAUAAAGUUGUUCUCAGUUCGGAUUGUAGUCUGCAACUCGACUACAUGAAGCUGGAAUCGCUAGUAAUCGUAGAUCAGCAUGCUACGGUGAAUACGUUCCCGGGUCUUGUACACACCGCCCGUCACACCACGAGAGUUUGUAACACCCGAAGCCGGUGGAGUAACCUUUUAGGAGCUAGCCGUCGAAGGUGGGACAAAUGAUUGGGGUGAAGUCGUAACAAGGUAGCCGUAUCGGAAGGGGGG